UACCAGCACCCCCGAGUGGUCGGGGACGAUUAUUGGGCCUAAAGCAUCCGUAGCCGGUUCUACAAGUCUUCCGUUAAAUCCACCUGCUUAACAGAUGGGCUGCGGAGGAUACUAUAGAGCUAGGAGGCGGGAGAGGCAAGCGGUACUUAGUGGGUAGGGGUAAAAUCCGUUGAUCCAUUGAAGACCACCAGUGGCGAAGGCGGCUUGCCAGAACGCACUCGACGGUGAGGGAUGAAAGCUGGGGGAGCAAACCGG
rnacentral:rRNA from 1 species